CCUACGGGACGCAGCAGUCGGGAAUAUUGCGCAAUGGAGGAAACUCUGACACAGUGACGCCGCGUAUAGGAAGAAGGUUUUCGGAUUGUAAACUAUUGUCGUGAGGGAAGAAGAUGACAGUACCUCAGGAGGAAGCUCCGGCUAACUAUGUGCCAGCAGCCGCGGUAAUACGUAGGGGGCAAGCGUUAUCCGGAUUUACUGGGUGUAAAGGGGGCGCAGACGGCGAUGCAAGCCAGGAGUGAAAGCCCGGGGCCCAACCCCGGGACUGCUCUUGGAACUGCGUGGCUAGAGUGCAGGAGGGGCAG
rnacentral:rRNA from 1 species